AGUGAACGCUGGCGGUAGGCCUAACACAUGCAAGUCGAACGGCAGCACAGUAAGAGCUUGCUCUUACGGGUGGCGAGUGGCGGACGGGUGAGGAAUACAUCGUAAUCUACUUUUUCGGGGGGGAUAACGUAGGGAAACUUACGCUAAUACCGCAUACGACCUACGGGGGAAAGCAGGGGAUCUUCGGACCUUGCGCGAUUGAAUGAGCCGAUGUCGGAUUAGCUAGUUGGCGGGGUAAAGGCCCACCAAGGCGACGAUCCGUAGCUGGUCUGAGAGGAUGAUCGGCCGCACUGGAACUGAGACACGGUCCAGACUCCUAAGGGAGGCAGCAGUGGGGAAUAUUGGACAAUGGGCGCAAGCCUGAUCCAGCCAUACCGCGUGGGUGAAGAAGGCCUUCGGGUUGUAAAGCCCUUUUGUUGGGAAAGAAAAGCAGCAGGUUAAUACCCCGCUGUUCUGACGGUACCCAAAGAAUAAGCACCGGCUAACUUCGUG
rnacentral:rRNA from 1 species